rnacentral:rRNA from 1 species
CACGUAGGGGGCAAGCGUUGUCCGGAAUCAUUGGGCGUAAAGAGCUCGUAGGCGGCUCAGUAAGUCGGGUGUGAAACCCUCAGGCUCAACCUGGGGACGCCACCCGAUACUGCUGUGGCUAGAGUCCGGUAGGGGAGCGUGGAAUUCCUGGUGUAGCGGUGAAAUGCGCAGAUAUCAGGAGGAACACCUGCGGCGAAGGCGGGUAGCUGGGCCGACACUGACGCUGAAGAGCGAAAGCGUGGGGAGCAAACAGG